UUACACACUUUGACAUUUGAGACCACUGAGUUCAAAGAAAGAAAAGAUGAUCAUAAUAUUCAUAGCAGUCUUGGCACUCACUUCAUUCUGCCAUCUCCUAGCUGAGGAUGGGAGAAUGGGCGGAUUAUUUUGUUGCCUUUUUGUUCCUCCUUGCUUAUUGGGCGUGCUCCCCUAUUUAAAUAUUAAGCACCGCCCCCCUGCCGCCCGCCGCCAUACCUUUAAAAGUAUCACGUUUUAUUUGUCUCUGUGAAAGUUAAAGAUGAUAGAUGUGAAGGCACUUAGCACAGGACUGGCCCCCUAAAUAAUUGGCAGAUUUGAAUUCACAUCCUGCUUGGUAUGAAUACUGUCCACACGGUCCUUUGAAAAGUUAGUAGAAAAGAUCUUGGGCCACUGCUUCUUGUCUUUCCAAGUUAGCAUUUCCUGUUGCGGCCCUACCAGUGAGUCAUCACACUCAGAGCCUUGGAACAUAAGUUUUAUUACUAGAGCUAUAGUACUGGGAUUGUUGGAUGCUUAGAGAUCUUCCCCCCCAGGGCCACCCACACGCCCCUACAGUACCACAGAGCCUGCCAAGGACAUGGAUGCUUACGGUACCCUGACCCCAUGGCUUGACCAAGUCAGGGUAUACUGUUUGAUGCAAAACAGGAACUCGCUGUUGGAUUAUCAUAAUACAUAACGCAGUGGAUGUUUUUAACUGUUAGGAAACCCACUAAUGAAGUUAGUCGUCUUCGGCCUGUCUUUAAUAAUAAUUAAAUAUAUUAGAAAAUACACAGAUCCAGUUCUCAGCUGUGCUUGUCUACAUCACUAGCAGGACUUGCAUCUUGUUCCGAAAGUUUUGCAAAGGGGAGGAAAGUAGUUGUUCCCCCCUCUUUUUUCCUAUGAGUAUGAAAAAUUCUAGUUGGCCAGGCACGGUGUCUCACGUCUGUAAUCCCAACACUUGGAAAGCCAAAGUAGGAGGAUUAAUUGAGGCCAAGAGUUCAAGGCCAGCCUGGACAACAUAGCAAGACCCCAUCUCUAAAAAAAAAAAGUUUAAGUUUCAAUAAAUCCUGCAUAAUUUCUGGGAUUCUUGAAAGCAUGGGCUCUCUCCGCACUGAGUCUAGUUUCACUGCUUCUUACUGGUUUUAAUCUUUAAUGUUAUACCUAUGUUUAUCCCUUAUUAAAAUUUCCCCCUGCUUUAAUUUCAGUGUACCAGUGUCAAACAUCUUAUAAUUCACAGUGUACUCUCAAGGCUGGCUCAUAGUUAUUUUUUAAAAUUUUACUAAACAUUUGAUUUUUCUCUAGCAACUGAAAUUAACCUCUGAACUUUUUAGUGUGUUUAUUUACAAAUAGAGCAUCUCUAAGCGAGUUUUUGAACUCAGCAUUUCAUUUUGAAGGUGUCUGGAGUUGAAUGUUACUUGGUGAUAUGAGACUUCCAUUCUUCCAGGUGGAAGAUGAGCUCAGCUCCCCAGUGGUGGUGUUCAGAUUUUUCCAGGAAUUACCAGGCUCAGAUCCGGUGUUUAAAGCCGUCCCAGUGCCCAACAUGACACCUUCAGCAGUCGGCCGGGAGAGGCACUCGUGUGACGCGCUGAAUCGCUGGCUGGGAGAACAGCUGAAGCAGCUGGUGCCUGCAGGCGGCCUCACAGUCAUGGAUCUGGAAGCUGAGGGCACGUGUUUGCGGUUCAGCCCUUUGAUGACCGCAGCAGUUUUAGGAACUCGGGGAGAGGAUGUGGAUCAGCUCGUAGCCUGCAUAGAAAGCAAACUGCCAGUGCUGUGCUGUACGCUCCAGUUGCGUGAAGAGUUCAAGCAGGAAGUGGAAGCAACAGCAGGUCUCCUAUAUGUUGAUGACCCUAACUGGCCUGGAAUAGGGGUUGUCAGGUAAAGUCUUGGCCUGCCACUUGAUGUUGGAGACUUUUCUGUAUAAAGAACACGGGUGGGUCAUUUUCUGAACCACCUUAGAAAUCCAAGAUGAAUGUGUAGUCACAAUAUGCUUAACGAAAAUGCAACUCGGUUUUCUGGGCAUUUACAAAAGCACAGUGCAAGCAGGCAAUUUGGCCAGCAUGGCGCUCAGGGAGGGGAGUUGCUGAAUGUUCUGUCUGUAGGUGCCGACUCUCAGCUACCUAGGGAGAAGAUGCCAACAGGUAUAUAUCACUCACUGAGAAUGGUUACUAUCCAGGGCAUAUAGAGAAUUGCAAAUCAGUAAGAAAAAGAACCCAGCUCUCGGGGAGAGAACUGGGUGCAGUCCUAUGGCUGCUUUCUCGCCUUCAGAGGUGAGGCAAACCUCUUUUUGUAUUGCCCAUGAGACUUCCAGACCUUGUAUGGAACUAAAGACUUAGGCUUUCGGCUGGGCACGGUGGCUCAUGCCUGUAAUCCCAGCACUUUGGGAGGCCAACAGGAGCAUAGAUGACUUGAGGCCAGGAGCUUGAGUCCAGCCUGGACAACAUGGCGAAACCCUAUCUCUAGAAAAAAUACAAAAAUUAGCCAGAGGUGGUGCUGCACACCUGUAGUCCCAGCUACUCGGGAAGCUUAGAUGGAAGGAUCAACUGAGCCCAGGAGGUGGAGGUUGCAGUGAGCCAAGAUCAUGCCACUGCACUCCAGCCUGGGCCACCAAGUGAGACCCUGCUUU
rnacentral:sRNA from 1 species